AGUACUAUGUUGAAGAGGAACGGUGAGAGUAGGCAUCCUGGUCUUGUUCCCGUUCUCAGAGGGAAUGCUUUCAACUUUUCCCCAUUCGGUAUUAUAUUGGCUGUGGGUUUGUCACAGAUGGCUUUUAUUACAUUAAGGUUUGUGCAUACUUAUAUAUACAUGAUGUCUCUUGGAGCAGAAGAAGAAGCAGAAAUGCUGCACUAAGAGAGAUUUAAGGCCUAGAUUUCAUUUUCCAUAUGCCAGCUUUGUUAUAUUUCUCCGAGCUUCAGAUCCUGUUUUCUAAACUGUGAUCAGCGUAAGUGUGGCUAACAGUGAUUGGAAUGGAUUUAAAGCGUCAAUUCCAAAGUAGAGAUUAUGAGUCAACUUUUUUUGCAGGGGGCUAUCCUCUGUCAGAGUUAUAUCAACUUAUAAUUUUCCUGUAGUCUCAAUACCACUAAGCCAUCUCUACUAAUAGAGAUAAGAGAAAGAACCUGCAUUAUUUAUCAGUAUGCAUCUCACAUUGAAAACCUAACCUUACCAACAUUGCCUGGGAAUGCUAAUGUCUUCUGUGCCAUGGGAGAGCACAACAGGGCACUGUGUAAGCACUGUGUAAGAAGAUGUGGUGAAGAGUGACCACCUAUGAACACAUUCCCAGUGGACAGACCUUUUCAAGUUCUCCUCUUGACGUUGGCUUGCUUUGGGGAUGACUGUCUGGUGUUCCUGCCCUUGCUAUGGUGAAAACAGAGCACAAGGAAAGCCACGGAAGGCAAACAGGGAAUGCAACCUUAGAUCAAUCCUUCCCAAACUGUCACUGAGACACAGAAGCCACAGAGACACACUCACACGUUAUGACACUUGAAGAAUUAUGUAGGUUAUUGCUGACACCAUGUAAGCACCCUCUAAAAUAACCCAGAAAAAAUGCUCUGAGAAGACCUGAAUUACAAGUGUGUGGAAUACCUCCAUCUUCUGCUUAACUGAUGUGAACCACAGGGAAGGGAUAAUUGUGGAAAUGAAACAGGAAACAAGCAAAACCAUUUAUAACACAUGAAAAUGAGUAAGCAAGCAAGUUGGCAUGCAUGAGAUAUAGAAAAAAGAGCGAAUUUGUAUCUAGUGCUUCCAGUGAAUUGUUCAAGAACACUUCAUCCUUGGAGAAGAAUUUCCUCUAAUUCUGUCAAGGGUGGUGUCUGCAUGGGUUACGUGCCAAGUAAUUGCCUGGUCACAAGCUAACAGUGUCAAGAGGCUAUUUUAAAGAUGAAUGGGAACACAAAACAUAUUUUGUCCUAUUCACCACUUUGAAUAUAUCUCAGGAACAAAACUUGCACCUGAAAUGAAAUGGAGAAAUGCGAUUUUUAUGAGUUACUGGCUUUUUCCCCCCUUCACACCACUGACAGAACAAAAACAUUUAGAGGAAGACAGCCCAAUGUCAUGUAAGUAUUUGUAUAUUUGUUCUCACCAUGGUACACAAGGGACAUAUCGAACCCUUUCCCUGACUAAAAACAGGACAUUAUUUAAGCUCUGCCAUCACACUCCAAUGCUUUUCAAUAGCUAGAAGAAUUCUGCAUUCCUUCCCAUAGGAACUGUAAGCUCAAAAAGAAAAAUUCUUCUGCAACACACUCUAUCAAUAACUUGUAUUCAUUUUGCUUUCUGAAAUAGUUACUUUUUAAAAUGUAUAUGCUAAGAAAAAGUGAAAGAAGAAAAAAGAGGCCCUCCAUCUAUGAAUUGUGCUCUUUUUUUAUUCAUAUGAUUUCCAAGACCAAGCAAAUUAUCAUAAUCUUCCUAACAGAGAUACACAAUUCCACCUAAGAAUUACCAUUUACUUAAACCAGUGAAAAGCAGUUUCUAUUAGAUGCUGAGACAAGUCAUCUGUAUGUGUUCAUAUGUGCUCCCUAGAAAUUAUUUUUGAAUUUCAAGGUUAUAAAUAAUUCCCAAACUCAAGUUCAUGCUGAUAUUCUAAUAUGGGUUAUUUGUUCUCCUCUGCUGGUGUCAUUUCUUUUGAUUUAAUCAUUAUCCCUUACAGGCUGGCACUGGUCUAUUCAGUAUACUGACAGGACCAAGCCAUCAUCCCACCUAAGAAUAUCAAUUAUGCUUUCAAAGCAUACAAUUUGAUUCAUGCAGAAGCUACUGUAUAUGCAUCAUGGUGUUUUCAUAAAGACUCCCUUAUUUACUCUAAACAGUGUUAUGCCUUUUACCAUAAGAUUCUGUAGUAACUGUUUAACCUUUCUAAAUCUUUUCAAGAAAUCUUAAAAGAAAGGAAAGCUUGCCCUCAAGAAUACACUUUCUGUUCUUAUAAAAAUCAGCUCCUCUAUAAAUAGCUGCAGUGAGGCAAAGCUUCAAAGCUUCAGCCUAAAAUGCCAUGAGUACUGUCCUGUAGAGACAGCUUUCAACCAUGUCUGAGUCGGCACAAAAAAGGAACUUCCUGCCAGCUGAAUGUGUGUCUCCCAACUUUCUCUCCUCAUGCAUAUCUAAAAAGGAUACUGAGCUAGAAUUGCUAGUAGUUUUCCUAUUUAAGGCCUGUAUGGAAGUCGUUCCCACAGUAGAAGCUGGAAACACACACACAGCCCACUCCUUCACUCACUCAUAACCUAGCAGGACCAGCUCCGGGCCCGCUCAGCUCCCUGUGCUGCCUGAUUUCUCAUUUCUCGAAGCACACAGAGGCUGGAAUGAGCCCACCAUCUGCCCCAACCACCAGAAACAAAAACAUGCCUUUUUCUAUCCCUGUGUGUGCAGGCAACGUCCACCCAUGCUGCUCAAGCCCUUUGAUCCUACAGACCAAGCCACCACAUCCUCUUCAUACCCCCUCAUGCACCCAUGAACACAAGCACGCACACACACACACACACACAC
rnacentral:lncRNA from 1 species